rnacentral:rRNA from 1 species
AACGGAGCUAAUACCGGAUAAUAUUUUGAACCGCAUGGUUCAAAAGUGAAAGACGGUCUUGCUGUCACUUAUAGAUAGAUCCGCGCUGCAUUAGCUAGUUGGUAAGGUAACGGCUUACCAAGGCAACGAUGCAUAGCCGACCUGAGAGGGUGAUCGGCCACACUGGAACUGAGACACGGUCCAG